UAUUGGUCCCUUCGCGGCGAUAGAUCGUGAACCCCGUCAGGCCCGGAAGGGAGCAGCGGUAACGAUUGAUUCGAGCGCCGGAGUGUGGCUCUUAGAG
rfam:Legionella tucsonensis strain ATCC 49180 Ltuc_ctg001, whole genome shotgun sequence.